CUACCAAAGUGGCUCAAGUGCACCGCCGGAAGAACGUGCGGGUCAGCAGGCGUCGUGAAGCCCCGCGAAGGCGGAUUCAGCAGUACCAUGGCCGCCCCGCCAGCCGCGUACACCACCUCACCCUUCUCAACGUUGGUAUUCCCGCCAAGGUGGCACAGCACUAUCUUCUGCCGCACAUCGAUGUGGUCCAGCGACCCCUUCAAGCAUACCGAUGCAUUCUUCCAGACGAUUGCCCCCGGGUACACGAUCGGCAGCAUUCUCGACUGGUUGAAUGAGCUCGGCUGGUAUGCUGUCUCGCCCUCUAGCUCCUCUCCGUUCCCCAGCUUCACAAUCGCUUUACACCUCCGGUCGGUAGAUGAUGCCCCGACAGUCAGGACCUAUUAAACUAAAGUAUAUUAAACACUAUUUUCUAGCGCGACUUAAAUUUUUAGGAGUCAUACUUUGUUUUAUUGAAAAACAGGAUAUUCUGAGCCCAAAUCAAUACCCAUGGCGCGUCGUGUGCCAACGUGUUCUCAGCCGGUCCUUCGUUCCCAGCAGCGGCCACAGCGAUAAUCCCAUGCGACACCGCGGCCAGCGACCCCUGCGCCACGCCGUCGUAGUAAUACCUAUACGUCGCAUUGCCGCCGAUGGACAUGGAGAUGAUGUCGACGCCGUCGUAGAUCGCCUGGUCGAUCGCAGCGAGCGUGUCGCUGGCGGCGCAGCCGUCUUCGAAGCACACCUUGUAGAUGGCGAGGUGCGCCAGCGGCGCCAUACCCACGGCGGUGCCGAAGGCGCGUCCGAGGACGUUGGCGUUGUCGAGGGAGUUCCCAGCGGCGGUGCUGGCAACGUGGGUGCCGUGCCCGUCGGUGUCGAGCGCCGUGGCGUCUACGGACGCAUUGAACCCGCGCGCGGCAAUGAUCUUGUUGUUGCACCAGACCCCGCUCGCCAAGGAGCAGUUUCCUCGCCAAAUGGGCGGCGGCGGCGGCAUCCCGGCGGGGUCGAACGAGGGGUGCGUCGGGUGGAUCCCCGUGUCCAGGAUCCCGAUCACCACGCCCUGCCCGAAGCCCGCGCUCGCCCACGCGGCGCUGUUCUGUUGGGUGAGGCCCAUGAACUGGGGGGUGUAGGUGGUGAGGAGCGGGUGGACCUGGUCCACGCGCGCGUGGACGAACCCGGGCUUCGACUCCAUGGCGGCGACCUCGGCCGGCGUCAGCCGCGCCGCGAACCCGCUCAUGACGUCACGGUAGGAGUAGAUGAGGCGGGGCGCGCCCGAGUCCAAAGUCGGCGUCGGCAGAAACGACUCGUGGUAGCUGCGUAAUUCGUGGGCGCCAAAGGAGUCGGCGCCGAGUGGCUUGUCCACGUUGACGAUGUACGUUUGGAGCUCGUUGGAGUCGGCGUUGGGUUCGUUCACUAUGGGGAGUAGCUGUGCGUGGACAAUAGCAACAAUAGGAAGGAGAGAAGAGAAUACGGUGAGGAGAGCAAGCCGUUGCCGACUCUUCAUUUUUGCGCGGGAAGGAACGAUGAUAAUGCUCGGAAAAGAGGAAGAAGAAGAGGGUGAGCAUGUGGCCUACGGUUCUCCACAGGGAGCAGAGAUCUAUAUAUAUAUAUAUACUCGGCAUAGAUCGAUGCACACGGGCUAGAACAAGGAAGAGGGAAAGUGCCUGUAUUAAUUAUUAUAUGUGAAUUAAGAAGUGAAUUAUAGGUAAAUUAUGGGAGCGUUUGCAUUAUGUUUAUCGUGAGCAAUCAUGAUCACGAAAUCAUAGAUGGGAAUACAAGGGGGAAUACAGUACGUAAUAGGACAUCCACUUUCAUUAUAACAAAAAGCAAAAAAUCUAGUCGCUGUAUAUGGAAAAAAAAAAAGUAACAUAAUAUUUAUCGUCCACAGCUAGCUAGCCAAAAAUAGAACAGUAACGAUCAUUAUAAUACAAACAGAAUAGAAAAGGUGACUCUUUUAUAGAAUUCAAACUCUGAAAUGCAUCUCAUAAUCUCUCUCAUCCAUUGCCUUAAUUUAAAAAAUAAAAGGUAUAUAUAUAUAUAUAUAUAUAUAUAUAUAUAUAUAACAAUACAUNUAUAGUAACUCUACUAUAUAUAUAUAUAUAUAUAUAUAUAUAUAUAUAUAUAUAUAUAUAUAUAUAUAUAUAUAUAUAUAUAUAUAUAUAUAUAACAAUACAUUUAAAAAUAAAAGGUAUACAUUGCCUUACUAGUUUUAAGUUAUUAACUAAAUUGAUAGGGUGGCAAACCUGUACACCCCAAAAAUGCAUGUAAAUUUGACACCCUUCGUCCAAUUGCCAAAACUAGCACUUUGUAAGAUUCUAUAAGGGUAAAGGGUUUGGUGGUUGAUAUCCGAAACCCAAGUUCAAAUUCUAGUUGAUUCACAUUUUUACUAAGUAUGUUUUUAAAUGAAAUAAACGAAACGAGUAGCGUGCUACCUAUCUCUCAAAAAUAACAAGUAUAUAACAAUCUCAACCCUUUCUUCAAUUUUUUACCUUGUUCAUUAAAACUCGAAACGCUCCUCAAGUGCUACCAAGCCAAAAUUACAUAAAUAUUAAAUUUGGUUAUAAAAAAAGACUCAAUAAACAAAUUCGCGAGUUAAUCUUUUUCUUUUCUAGUCAUGCUUUUUGUCGAUCAUGUUACAUCAAAUAGGUAACUUGCUGACAAGCGAAAUUGCUGAAACGAUAAAACUUCUCGAUUCAAAUUUUUCCAGCAUCUUAAUCAACCAAAUAAACAAUAAUUCAACUCGGAUACCAGUUUGUUACAGAAAUAUAGAAAAGAUCUAGUUCGUCGUUGGAUACAAAAGUUAAUAAAAAAAUAUUGAGGAAAAAAGAAAAAAAAUAAAAUAUACAAAUAUUUAUAUAAUUCAGACACUGAUUUACUUACAAGGACGAGAAUAGAUUGAAAACUUCUAUGGGUAUUGAAGACAAAGUACGUACUUUUACCUCUCUUGAUGCUGAAAAUUUAUCUGGUGCGCACUUUGUCGUGUGGCACCUAUACCACUGCUGCACAACAAUUCCCAUUCGAUUCUCUCUCUAAUGCGAUGUGAUUUUUAUAUAGCAGUUAUACUACAUCAUCUAUAAAUAUCUUAAGCUAAUCAAUUUUUUUUUUUUAAAUAAAUAUACAAUAAUUUGUUUUUUAAAAAAAUUAUAUGAUGAGAUGUGUGGAUUGUGAAGGUAUAAUUUGAUUGGUUAGAGAGAAGGUAAUGUGGUGUCUACAGGUUUUCAUCCAAUGCACUGCUGCUGCUGCACACAACUCAAUGCUUGAUACAUCUAUGUCCAAUAGUAUGAUGCUCAGUGGUCAAUUAGACUUCUCUCACAACUACAGUACUCUGCCACUUGGUCUAAGACCAGCUCCAAAUUCUAAUCUACUUUUAACAGGAUUUUAGAGUAUAAUUAAAAUUAUGACACUUGUCUAGAAGAUUCUAAUCUAAAUUUUGAUCUAAAACAAUUUUCAGUUCCAUAUUUAACGGAUGAAAAAAUACAAAACUCAUUAAUUUUUAGCGAAACGAGAUAAUUAAAUUCGAUAAAAUUGAGUCAGUAAAUAAUGACGGACGUAAAAGCUUUUGGCUCAAAAUUCGUCGUUAGAAGAUGAUUUAUUUGGACGAGGACGAGAUUAGCGAAUUUGUUUUCUUUCUUAGUAAGACCAGAACAGAGGAGCUAUAUAUUUCGGAACUAUUUCUACUUCUGGGUUUUGAUCUCCUCUGGUCUUUCAAAGUUAGAUCUGCGAAAGAAACCCUUUUUUCCCUUGCAUCUUUACUUGGAAAAUAAAAAAAAAAGAAAAACACUCCAAAUUCCAAACCCUUUACAAGUGCAAUGGACAUCUUCAGUGGAUGAGAUGCUGGGGCGGGUUGGACGGUUGGGAGUUUGCUGGUCCCCCUCGGACAACUGUCUUAAGAUCAUUAGUUGUUGGUGCUGUUUCAUGUUGUAGGGCGUAGUCGGUUGGAUCGCGUACUUGGUUCGAGGGGUAUUAUCGUCAUUAUGGAAGGGAUAUAAAUAGGGAAGUAAUACAGGCCAGCACGGUCCGAACACCAAGGCCCAAGGCAUCUUAGGGUCCGAGCCUUGGGGUCUGAGCGCUCCUUCCAAGGAGCUCUCCUCCAAGGUCUACCAUUAUAAGGCCUUGAGAGGAGGUUUUUGGUUCGAUGGGCUAAAAAAACCCUCUCAAUUUUUUUUUAAAUAAUAAAAAUUUAUAUGUUUUUUAAAAAUUAAAUAUUUAUUAUAUUAUAAUUAUUUUUAUAAAUUUUAAUUUUUUAAUUAAAAUAUUAAUUUAAAUAAAAAGUAUUUAUUAUUUAUAUCUUAAAAUGUAUAAUUUCUAAAAAAAUAAAAAACUUUAGGGCCAACCGGAGCACCCAUGGGCUCCGCGCCAUUCUGGCCUAAGGUAUGUGCUGGGUCGGAGACUUGAUCGCUCCGACCCAGCACAAACUGGUUUGGAUUUGGAAUCCGGCCAGACCGCGCCGGGCUGGUCCCUAGCCCGAUUUAGUACAGCUAAUGUGGGUCGUGCUAGCCUGGCACGACUCACAAUACACUCCUAGUUAUAAAGUGGUGUGAUGCGUUCGUCCAUAUAAGGUCGGACAAUAUAAUGAGGGGUGGGGGACAGUUUAGUCCAGUCAUUUUAUAUAUUAAUUUCUGAAAUUUUGACCUGAUAUUUUGGGAUUAAUUAGGUGACAUCCGAUGAACAUUGGAUGGUAAGAAUAAGCGUAAUUUUACCAACAUAUUGAGUCUUACGGUAAAUCAUACCCCUUCAGUCGCAUAUAUAAUCUCAUCAAAUUUGUAUCGGAGAGACUAUUGUGUGCCUACACCUGGUGCAGCAGUGAACUUGUGCGCCGCAACCCACCAACAAUUUUGUGUAUGGACUCCUGUAGCUUAAUCUCUUUAAUGAAUGAAGCGGAUAACGUGCUAUCUUUUCCUUAAAAAAAAAAAAAAAUUGUGUAUUGUGUAAGUAGAGCUUAUAAAUUAUACUUAUAAAAGUAUAGUAGCCGGACUCUCUCUCUCUCUCUCUCUCUCUCUCUCUCUCUCUCUCUCUAUAUAUAUAUAUAUAUAUAUAUAUAUAUAGAUGCUAUAACAAAACUUCGUAAGAAGAUAUUUCGAGAAAUAUUUGAAGAUAGAACUAUAUAUAUCUNAAAAAAAAAAGGAAGGAAAAGAUUACAUUGAGACAGUUAUGAAUUUGAUUGAGUUUCCGUUACUUGACCAAACAACCCCCAAUUCAGUUAUUUCAACUACAUCGAAUGAUCUUUCGAAUUGGUCAAGACUCUCCAGUUUAUGGCCGCUUCUAUAUGGUACCAGUUGUUGUUUCAUUGAAUUUGCUUCAUUAAUAGGCUCGCGAUUCGACUUUGAUCGUUAUGGGUUGGUGCCAAGAUCAAGUCCUAGGCAAGCGGACCUAAUUUUAACAGCCGGCACGGUCACAAUGAAAAUGGCUCCUUCCUUAGUGAGAUUAUAUGAGCAAAUGCCUGAACCAAAAUACGUCAUUGCUAUGGGGGCCUGUACUAUUACAGGAGGGAUGUUCAGUACUGAUUCUUAUAGUACUGUUCGGGGAGUCGAUAAGCUAAUUCCUGUGGAUGUCUAUUUGCCGGGCUGCCCACCUAAACCAGAGGCAGUUAUAGAUGCUAUAACAAAACUUCGUAAGAAGAUAUUUCGAGAAAUAUUUGAAGAUAGAACUAUAUAUAUCUCAACAGGAAAAUCGAUGUUUUACUACCAAUCACAAAUUUUCUGUUCGACGCAGUACUCAUACUGGAAAUUACGAUCAAGGAUUGCUCUAUCAAUAACCAUCUACUUCAGGGAUAUCUUUUGAAUCAUUUUUCAAAUCCAAAAGUUCAGUAUCUUCCUACGAAUUAGUGAAUCAGGCAGGGUUCUUUUGUGCAGAAUAAAAAAGAGCAGGUCAAUCUUUGAAAAUUUCAUUGUAAAUGUGAAAUACUUAUACAAAUGUGGGAGAGAUCAAGACAAUGCAGCAGAAUCCAGCAAAAAAAGAGAACUUUUUAUAUAUAUAUGCUGAUCUGAUGCACAAGGUGUAACCAGUAAUCUCCCUAGCGAGCUAAAUUAAAUUACUGUAACAGCAUAAUUAGAGGAGAGUUAUACCGUAAUUGAUACAUCAUAAUUUAGAUUAUACCAAUCAAAAUGCAACAAACGCCGUUGACCCGUACUCGGUCCUUUGAUUUUUAUAAUUUUGCAUUCUUAAUCAAAUAUAAGUACGUGCAUUUAACUUUGAUUGUACUCAUAAUUGGAUACACAUAGCCCGUAAUUUCUCCAUUAUUUUGCUAUACUUGCAAAUGAAGCUACUAUAUAGAAUAUUGCUGUCCACUCGAUUUAAUUCCUUCCGUAAUUAAGGCACAAUAUCGAAGUUGCAUCUUAACAUUAACCAUAUAUGGUCCAUUUAUUAAUAAUUAACUAAAGCAUAUAAAUCCGGAUUGGACCCAAAAUUAAUAUUCACAUGAUGAUGUAGCUAGGAACUGUACUGUAAUAUUUUGCUGCGUUUAAUAUUUUAUAGAUUUCCUUCAUUUAAUUAAACCGACCCAGCACUUACGCAUGCAUGCAUAUGCAUGCACGCACGUACGUAACCCCUUCAAGGGAACUUAACCGCAAUGGGGGUCUUAACCACAAAAGUCCCGGAGACCCACUUGAUCCACCCCGCUGCGUACUUGGAGGAGGGAGACCUGGUUACCGUUAGAGUGACGUUGAAGCUCUCCUCCUGGUCCAGCCUCGAAAAGCGCAGCUGACUCGUCGACAAGUCAACCCUCACCCACCUCGACGGCCCAAUCUGCGGCGUGUCGGAACCCCGACGUUUCUUGCCGUUCGGCUCACUGUCACGGUGGACCCGACCACGCUGGGUAGCGAUACCUGUAUCGAUGGGUAGUUCAUCGCCGACGCCUGUAUCCACCUCAUGGCCGAGCAAUUCACCAGCUUAUGGUACAGCUUCUUCAGCUCCGAGUCGGUGUACCUGAGUGCGCACAAAUAGCCGGUGUAGUCGUCGGGCUGGAUGUCAUACACGAGCCCGGGAUCGAGAGCCCUCAUGGGGUCGAUUUGUCCGGCGCCGGUCGCGAAUAUGCUCGCCCUGCUGUCCCCUCGCUGGUCGGUGAUCGGAUUUCCAUUGAGGUCGAUCGACGUCCUUUGCUGACGUUAUAAUUGCCGAGUUUAUGAAAGCCGGAGGCCACGUUGGGUGUUUGUUCUUGAUCAGCGCGGCAAUGCCGGACACAUGAGGGGUCGCCAUCGACGUGCCGCUAGCGAAGAUGAAUGUUGACGUCACGAGCGCCGAGGGAUUGGGCCCGACCGCGAACGGCCAUGCCGCGAGGAUGUUCACACCUGGGGCAAGAACGUCGGGCUUUAAAAUCCCUCCGUUUGAUGGUGGCGGCCCACGGGAGGAGAAGCUGGCCACCGCGGGCGAUGGGUGGUGGCCUUACGUCGUCUUUUGGAAGAUGAUUGAUGCAGUGGCGGUGCUAACGCCUGUAGAAUUUCGCAGCUUGUCGUAGUAGGCUAGAAUAUUUAGCCCACCCGAGUAGCUCAAGUGCACCGCCGGAAGAACGUGCACGUCCGCAAAUGUCGUGAAACCCAGCGACUGCGGGUUCAGCAGUACCAUCGCCGCCCCGCCGGCCGCGCACACUACCGCGCCCUUCUCGACGUUGGUAUUGUUGCUAAGGUGGCACAGCACUAUCUUCUGCCGCACAUCGAUGUGGUCCAGCGACCCCUUCAAGCAUACCGAUGCAUUCUUCCAGACGAUUGCCCCCGGGUACACGAUCGGCAGCAUUCUCGACUGGUCGAAUGAGCUCAGCUGGUAUGCUGUCUCG
rnacentral:lncRNA from 1 species